rnacentral:rRNA from 1 species
CAGCAGCAGCCACGGUAAUACGGAGGGAGCUAGCGUUGUUCGGAAUUACUGGGCGUAAAGCGCACGUAGGCGGCUAUUCAAGUCAGAGGUGAAAGCCCGGGGCUCAACCCCGGAACUGCCUUUGAAACUAGAUAGCUUGAAUCCAGGAGAGGUGAGUGGAAUUCCGAGUGUAGAGGUGAAAUUCGUAGAUAUUCGGAAGAACACCAGUGGCGAAGGCGGCUCACUGGACUGGUAUUGACGCUGAGGUGCGAAAGCGUGGGGAGCAAACAGGAUUAGAUACCCCUGUAGUCCCUGUCUCUUAUAC